AGGGCAGUAGCUCAACUGGUAGAGCAGCUGAUUCCAAAUCAGCAGGCUGGGGGUUCGAGCCCUCCCUGCCCUG
rnacentral:tRNA from 1 species